rnacentral:rRNA from 1 species
GGAAUAUUGGACAAUGGCCGAGAGGCUGAUCCAGCCAUGCCGCGUGCGGGAGGACGGCCCUAUGGGUUGUAAACCGCUUUUGUUGGGGAGCAAUAAGGUCUACGUGUAGACUGAUGAGAGUACCCAGCGAAUAAGCAUCGGCUAACUCCGUGCCAGCAGCCGCGGUAAUACGGAGGAUGCGAGCGUUAUCCGGAUUUAUUGGGUUUAAAGGGUGCGUAGGCGGACGAUUAAGCGUGAGGUGAAAUGCCCGGGCUCAACCUGGGAACUGCCUCGCGAACUGGUUGUCUGGAAUGCUCCUGCCGUGGGAGGAAUGUGUGGUGUAGCGGUGAAAUGCAUAGAGAUCACACAGAACACCGAUUGCGAAGGCAUCUCACGAAGGGGUGAUUGACGCUGAGGCACGAAAGCGUGGGGAUCAAACA